rnacentral:rRNA from 1 species
UACGUAGGGCGCAAGCGUUUAUCCGGAAUUAUUGGGCGUAAAGAGCUCGUAGGCGGUGUGUCGCGUCGGCCGUGAAAACCUGGGGCUCAACUCUGGGCGUGCGGUCGAUACGGGCAUCACUGGAGUUCGGCAGGGGAGACUGGAAUUCCUGGUGUAGCGGUGAAAUGCGCAGAUAUCAGGAGGAACACCGGUGGCGAAGGCGGGGUCUCUGGGCCGAUACUGACGCUGAGGAGCGAAAGCAUGGGUAGCGAACAGG